rnacentral:rRNA from 1 species
AUUGAACGCUGGCGGCAGGCCUAACACAUGCAAGUCGGACGGUAGCACAGAGAGCUUGCUCUUGGGUGACGAGUGGCGGACGGGUGAGUAAUGUCUGGGGAUCUGCCCGAUAGAGGGGGAUAACCACUGGAAACGGUGGCUAAUACCGCAUAACGUCGCAAGACCAAAGAGGGGGACCUUCGGGCCUCUCACUAUCGGAUGAACCCAGAUGGGAUUAGCUAGUAGGCGGGGUAAUGGCCCACCUAGGCGACGAUCCCUAGCUGGUCUGAGAGGAUGACCAGCCACACUGGAACUGAGACACGGUCCAGACUCCUACGGGAGGCAGCAGUGGGGAAUAUUGCACAAUGGGCGCAAGCCUGAUGCAGCCAUGCCGCGUGUAUGAAGAAGGCCUUCGGGUUGUAAAGUACUUUCAGCGGGGAGGAAGGCGGUGCGGUUAAUAACCGCGUCGAAUGACGUUACCCGCAGAAGAAGCACCGGCUAACUCCGUGCCAGCAGCCGCGGUAA